AAGCCAUCAGCAAGUCAGAGCGGCUGCAGGAGGAGACCCACACCUCCACGUUGGACUUCUCGCCUCCAGCACUGGAUUGUUUACAUAGCGUCUGACGGUGUGAGACCGGGCAGUUUGGAGCCGUUGUGGAAUAGUUGGCGGUACACUCUUUGUCGUGUUGCUUUUAACGUAUUUGUGUGAAUUUCAAGUGUUACAUUUCAUACCAGAACCUGAAAUAAACGAAUGACUGCUUUCUUGAUG